AGUAAAAUGCCUGAAUAAAAGGGUUAUCGUGAUAGGAUAAACUAUGUAACUCGUUACUUUUACUA
rnacentral:tRNA from 1 species